UACGGAGGGUGCAAGCGUUGUUCGGAAUUACUGGGCGUAAAGCGCGUGCAGGCGGCCCGCUAGGUCAGAUGUGAAAGCCCUCGGCUCAACCGAGGAAGUGCAUUUGAAACCAUCGGGCUUGAGUACGGGAGAGGGAGGCAGAAUUCCUAGUGUAGAGGUGAAAUUCGUAGAUAUUAGGAGGAAUACCUGUGGCGAAGGCGGCUUCCUGGACCGAUACUGACGCUGAGACGCGAAAGCGUGGGGAGCAAACAGGAUUAGAUACCCCUGUA
rnacentral:rRNA from 1 species